rnacentral:rRNA from 1 species
AACGAACGCUAUCGGUAUGCUUAACACAUGCAAGUCGGACGGACUAAUUAGGGUUUGCUCCGGUUUGUUAGUGGCAGACGGGUGAGUAACACGUGGGAAUCUGCCCAUCAGUACGGAAUAACUUUUAGAAAUAAAAUCUAAUACCGUAUAUUCUCUACAGAAGAAAGAUUUAUCGCUGAUGGAUGAGCCAGCGUCAGAUUAGGUAGUUGGUGAGGUAACGGCUCACCAAGCCGACGAACUGUAGCUGGUCUGAGAGGAUGAUCAGCCACACUGGGACUGACACAAGGGCCAGACUUCGACGGGAGGCAGCAGUGGGGAAUAUUGGACGCCGGGCGAAAGACUGAUCCAGCAAUACCGUGUGAGUGAUUAAGGUCGUAGGGAUGUAAAGCUCUUUUAGCCAGGAAGAUAUGGACGUUACUAGAAGAAAAAGCCCCGCCAAAUUCCGG